GCCCGGGGUGUCUAAUGCUCCAUAUCAUUGAAUGAAAUAUAUAAAAAUAAUUUAUUCGAGAUAAUUUAUUUGAGAAUACAAAGUAGUAUAUCGAAAUAUAUAUUUUUAUAUCGAUAUAUACAUUUUUAUAUCAAAAUUUAUUAAUAAUAUUUUAUUUUUUUUAUUACAAGAUGUUGGGACAUCUGGCUCUCAUCCACCAGCUAUUGAAG
rnacentral:lncRNA from 1 species